AAACAUCCAUUUGAUUGGCAUCCGAGAUGUUAGUUUUUACAGUCACACAAUUUAACAAAUAAUGCAAAAUAGUUGUCACAUUAUAAAUCUAAAUCUUAAUACACAAUUUUACAAUCAAGAAAUUGUUUCAACACAUUAAUUACAGUUAUGACCAGCUGUUUUUAAGAAACGCCAUCUCUCGUUAAUUUUACACAAAAUAUUGACAAUUGAUUUCUUGACAACGGUUUUACAUCUAUUAAUUUGAUUGCUGCAACUAAAUGAAUUUUUAUUCUUAAUCAAUAUUUAUAACAUCAUUAAUAUUAACAGUUGUUUAGUUAAUAUCAUCCAUUAAUGGUCAAUUUUUUUUCAGCAACCCUAUGGACUCAUAAUGUUAAAAGCUCAACUGUGUCAUCAUCAAAACCCUGUAAACUCAAAAUGUGACUUCUAAAACUUCAGGUAUUCGCUUCAAAGAAAAAGUGAUGAACAUGAUAAUGAGAAGGAGGAACAUAGGAAUCAUCAAAGGAUAAAGAGGUGAAGCUUCUGGAGACAAGACAAGACGGAAGAAUGAAAAAAGUUCAAGUGGAUAAGCUAUUACAUCCUAAUGAAGUUUUUUACAUCCAAGAUGAGACAAAGAGAAAAAUUUUCAAGAAAUCGAGUAGACAAGAAUGCUGUUAACCAUGGAAACUAUUGAAAGGAUUGAAGCUUGAAGACAAGAUGGAGAAUCGUGUGGAUUACUUUCCUUGGAACGGUUUACAUUGAUAAUCUGAUUCAUGUUGAUGAUCAUUUACAAUCAAGUUACUCUACAAUCACCUAGUGGAUCAAUUUAUGUAAAAUAUUUUAUCGAUUCUUGAUUCUACCAUUGGGUUGGCCAAUGGUUGCGGUUGUUUUUGAUCUCAUCGAUCUUGGUUUAAUUUUAAUAAUUCAUACAAAUUGGUUGGUGAACAAACAAUGAGUUAUCAGAAAUUGAAUUAUAAAAUGUUGGAGAAUUGAAAAAGAAAGCAAAAGGAAAUUCAAUUCACUUGAAUUGAAAGAAACAAAAGAGGAAACAAAAUCACAAUUUCAUCCUCCAUCUUCAUUACCGUAAUGAUAAUAAUAUAAAUCAUCAUCAUCCUCCCCAUCAUCAACAUCAACAUCAUUAUCGAUAGUGAUGGGAAUAAAAUCAGUUUCACUCUUGUUCAUGAUCCAUGGUAACAACAUCACCUUUCUCCCUGAAACGGAGGGCAAGAUUUUCUUUGAUUACUCCAGAAGCAAUACCGGGAACUGAACGAGCCAAUUUAACUUCAUGAUUCUUAAAAUAUGGAUCACAAUCCCAA